rnacentral:rRNA from 1 species
AUUGAACGCUGGCGGCAGGCCUAACACAUGCAAGUCGAAGGUGAGGUGGGACGGGUGAGUAAUGUCUGGGAACGUACCUUUUGGUUCGGAACAACACAGGGAAACUUGUGCUAAUACCGGAUACCGAAAGAUCGGCCCGCGUCUGAUUAGCUAGUUGGUAGGGUAAUGGCCUACCAAGGCGACGAUCAGUAGCUGGUCUGAGAGGAUGAUCAGCCACAUUGGGACUGAGACACGGCCCAAACUCCUACGGGAGGCAGCAGUGGGGAAUAUUGGACAAUGGGGGCAACCCUGAUCCAGCCAUGCCGCGUGAGUGAUGAAGGCCCUAGGGUUGUAAAGCUCUUUUGUGCGGGAAGCGGUACCGCAAGAAUAAGCCCCGGCUAACUUCGUGCCAGCAGCCGCGGUAAUAC